rnacentral:rRNA from 1 species
UACGGAGGAUCCGAGCGUUAUCCGGAUUUAUUGGGUUUAAAGGGUGCUCAGGCGGGGGAUUAAGUCAGCGGUGAAAUUUUGCAGCUUAACUGUAACAGUGCCGUUGAUACUGGGGAGCUAGGAUUUGGUUGCUGUGGGUGGAAUGUGUGGUGUAGCGGUGAAAUGCUUAGAGAUCACACAGAAUAUCGAUUGCGAAGGCAGCUCACAAAGCCAAGAUUGACGCUGAGGCACGAAAGUGUGGGGAUCAAACAGGAUUA